rnacentral:rRNA from 1 species
UACGAAGGGGGCUAGCGUUGCUCGGAAUGACUGGGCGUAAAGGGCGCGUAGGCGGCUUGCACAGUCAGGCGUGAAAUUCCUGGGCUCAACCUGGGGACUGCGCUUGAGACGUGUGGGCUUGAGUGGGGAAGAGGGUCGUGGAAUUCCCAGUGUAGAGGUGAAAUUCGUAGAUAUUGGGAAGAACACCGGUGGCGAAGGCGGCGACCUGGUCCUUGACUGACGCUGAGGCGCGAAAGCCAGGGGAGCAAACGGG